rnacentral:tRNA from 7 species
UUUUCAAUAGCUCAGUUGGUAGAGCAACGGACUGUGCUUAAAUAAAACGAGCGUUUGUCCCUGGUUCAAGUCCAGGUUGAGGAGCCA